CUCUCUUCUCUGCAGACCUUUGGUUCGACCAGUGCUGUGAAGUGAGAAUCCACUCUGCGGCAUAGUCCGGUGAGCCUCCGUUGUCAUUAAUAGGUUUCUCUAUGUCAUUAAUAGGUUUCUCUAUGUCAUUAAUAGGUUUCUUGCAAACACCGACACGAGUUCCCGAGGCCAGCGUUUAAUUGGGUUGAAUAUGUCUCCGUCAAAUAAAGUAAGCAAAGAAAUUCGCUGUUCUAUUCUUUAGGAUUGUGACUUGUGUUUAAAUUGAUUGUGGUAGAUUAUGUGACAUGUUGGUUGGAUGGAAAUCUAUAGGUUAUGAAUAAUGGGUAAAUUAUGUUGUGUCUAUAUUAAAGGGUGUUUCAUGGUGAAUGAGAAAACAUUGAAAAGAGGGUAUGGAAGGAAUGAUUGGAUAGUAUUGCGCAAAAACCCGGGUGCUUUAAGAAAGAUGAAUAAACCAAAACCACAGCAUUUUGCAAAGGUAAAGCUACUGUGAUAUUGCCCUUAUUAUGUGUUUCAAAAGAGAAACAG